rnacentral:rRNA from 1 species
GAGGAAAAGAAACCAACAGGGAUUGCCUCAGUAGCGGCGAGUGAAGCGGCAAAAGCUCAAAUUUGAAAUCUGGCGUCUUUGGCGUCCGAGUUGUAAUUUGAAGAAGGUAUCUUUGGGCCCGGCUCUUGUCUAUGUUCCUUGGAACAGGACGUCACAGAGGGUGAGAAUCCCGUGCGAUGAGAUGACCCGGGUCUGUGUAAAGUUCCUUCGACGAGUCGAGUUGUUUGGGAAUGCAGCUCUAAGUGGGUGGUAAAUUCCAUCUAAAGCUAAAUAUUGGCGAGAGACCGAUAGCGAACAAGUACAGUGAUGGAAAGAUGAAAAGAACUUUGAAAAGAGAGUGAAAAAGUACGUGAAAUUGUUGAAAGGGAAGGGCUUGAGAUCAGACUUGGUAUUUUGCAUGCUGCUCUCUCGGGGGCGGCCGCUGCGGUUUACCGGGCCAGCAUCGGUUUGGAGCGGCAGGAUAAUGGCGGAGGAAUGUGGCACGGCUUCUGCUGUGUGUUAUAGCCUCUGACGAUACUGCCAGCCUAGACCGAGGACUGCGGUUUUUACCUAGGAUGUUGGCAUAAUGAUCUUAA